CUGGAACUGACGACAGAGCACAGAAUCUGGGGCCCGCAGUGGGACCUGGGCAGCGGGCGGGGUGGGCAAUUAAGGAAAGGCCUAGAAACCGGACCACGGUGGGGUUGUGACCGUAUCGCGAGGUUUGCGUUAAGGUGCCAAGAGAGAAGUGGACCGGUUUCUCUGUAUGCAGACUCACCUCAGCCACAGACGCUGAGAAAAUCGCCAUAGACAGGCUGUAAAGACUGAGCCUUUCUUCCCGUUCCAACCGAUUUCCAAGGGAGUUGGGGAAAAUAGGUCCGGUGAAUAAGAGUGUGACAAAAGCAAUAGUCCUGAAUUUUUAAAUUCCUAGCAGCAUUUCACUAAAUAUCUACAUGAUGGAGAAUUCUGUUGUGAAAUCAAACUUCCUCACAAAAAUUCUGUCUUCCUGUGUACCUUAAGGUGAUUUCUCUGCCGUCUUAGCCAAGACACAAGUGGCUUUGCAAGAAACCGUCUUUGGUGUAAUUGGAACGCAUGUACACUCAUACUUAACCCGAGUUUUGUUUUGAAAUCAUUUUCACAUUUUUAAAAAUAGUAAGUCAACAUAUGGUCAUAAAAGUGACAAAUAUAGCUGUACUCUUAAAUACAUUUUCUAAAUCACAAUAUUCUACUUUUGGGAAGAAAUAUGAGUGAGCAAGUAGCAUCAACAUUGAGACCUAUAGAUCAAGAUUCCUCCGAGGUGGAUGAACCUGUGGUUGACCAGCAGCCCAGUGUUGAGCAACCUCAACAAGAGGAACCGCCAGCUGAGAUUCAGGAUAUCACAGCUGGAAAGGAGGAAGUAAAUGGAGAGGAUCCAAUGAAUCAUUAUGAAGAGAAGGAGAAGGAUGCGUCUGGAGGUAAAGUGUAUGUGUGCAUCAUGACUUAAGACAUAACCAGCAAGGGGAGGAAAGGAAACAUUAGAAAAGGACUUCAGACAGUUCCUGAAAAACUGAGGAGAG
rnacentral:lncRNA from 1 species